GAUGAAUGCUGGCGGCGUGCCUAAUACAUGCAAGUCGUACGGAAAGGCCCUUCGGGGUACUCGAGUGGCGGACGGCUGAGUAACGCGUGGGAACGUGCCCCAAAGUGAGGAAUAACUGCCCGAAAGGGUAGCUAAUGCCGCAUAGGGUCUGCGGAUUAAAGCUUCGGCGCUUUGGGAGCGGCCCGCGUACGAUUAGAUAGUUGGUGAGGUAAUGGCUCACCAAGUCGACGAUCGUUAGCUGGUCUGAGAGGAUGAUCAGCCAGACUGGAACUGAGACACGGUCCAGACUCCUACGGGAGGCAGCAGUAAGGAAUCUUCCACAAUGGGCGAAAGCCUGAUGGAGCAACGCCGCGUGCAGGAUGAAGGCCUUCGGGUCGUAAACUGCUUUUAUAAGUGAAGAAUAUGACGGUAACUUAUGAAUAAGCACCGGCUAACUACGUGCCAGCCGCCGCAGUAA
rnacentral:rRNA from 1 species